UACGUAGGGUGCAAGCGUUGUCCGGAAUUAUUGGGCGUAAAGAGCUCGUAGGCGGUUUGUCGCGUCUGCUGUGAAAACCCGAGGCUCAACCUCGGGCCUGCAGUGGGUACGGGCAGACUAGAGUGCUGUAGGGGAGACUGGAAUUCCUGGUGUAGCGGUGAAAUGCGCAGAUAUCAGGAGGAACACCGGUGGCGAAGGCGGGUCUCUGGGCAGUAACUGACGCUGAGGAGCGAAAGCGUGGGGAGCGAACAGG
rnacentral:rRNA from 1 species